rnacentral:rRNA from 1 species
UACGGAGGGUGCAAGCGUUAUCCGGAUUUACUGGGUUUAAAGGGUGCGUAGGUGGGUAGGUAAGUCAGUGGUGAAAUCUUCGAGCUUAACUCGGAAACUGCCAUUGAUACUAUCUGUCUUGAAUACUUUGGAGGUAAGCGGAAUAUGUCAUGUAGCGGUGAAAUGCUUAGAUAUGACACAGAACACCGAUUGCGAAGGCAGCUCGCUAAAGUAUGAUUGACGCUGAGGCACGAAAGCGUGGGGAGCAAACAGG